ACACAACUUAAUGGGACAGUAUGUGUCGAUGUAUUUUCAACGAUUUUUGACGGAUUAGACUCUGAUGGUCGUGGAAUAAUGGGUCGAAAUACUUGAUUCGUAACAUUCUGAAAGGGUGUCCUAAAAGGAUUUAUACUGGGCAGAGGUGAAACGUUUGUGAUAGAUGAGUUUUGUGUUAUACUCCCCAUUGGAGUAUUCUCUUUGUCAUUGGUACCUGCGUCAACAUAAUUAGUAUGUGAAAAAUUAACCAACUAUCACUUGCCCUGAUUUCAUUAGAACGAUUACGUAUCAUUCUUUGUAUUCAGUAGUACGAAAAUUCAUAAUUUAUAAAGGUUUUUAUUUAUUUUCAGUAGAACAUACACUGUUUUUUUUCUUCUUAUGUGGUUUAUUCCCUGUGUCUGUAGACACUGGAUUACUUCUCUUCAUGCUUCCCACUCAAA
rnacentral:lncRNA from 1 species